rnacentral:sRNA from 1 species
UAAACGGAUGCGAUGACGAUCAGCUGGU